AGAGUUUGAUCAUGGCUCAGGAUGAACGCUAGCGGCAGGCUUAAUACAUGCAAGUCGAGGGGCAGCGCAGUGUAGCAAUACAUGGGCGGCGACCGGCAAACGGGUGCGGAACACGUACGCAACCUUCCUUCAAGCGGGGGGAUAGCUUUCGGAAACGAAAAUUAAUACCCCAUAGAAUUAUCUGAUGGCAUCAGAGGAUAAUUAAAGAUUUAUCACUUGAAGAUGGGCGUGCGCCUGAUUAGGUAGUUGGCGGGGUAACGGCCCACCAAGCCUACGAUCAGUAACUGGUGUGAGAGCACGACCAGUCACACGGGCACUGAGACACGGGCCCGACUCCUACGGGAGGCAGCAGUAAGGAAUAUUGGUCAAUGGACGCAAGUCUGAACCAGCCAUGCCGCGUGGAGGAUGAAGGUCCUCUGGAUUGUAAACUUCUUUUAUCGGAGAAGAAACCCCGACUUUUUAGUUGGGUUGACGGUACCCGAUGAAUAAGCACCGGCUAACUCCGUGCCAGCAGCCGCGGUAAUACGGAGGGUGCAAGCGUUAUCCGGAUUCACUGGGUUUAAAGGGAGCGUAGGUGGGCUGGUAAGUCAGUGGUGAAAUCUCCGGGCUUAACUCGGAAACUGCCGUUGAUACUAUCAGUCUUGAAUGUUGUGGAGGUAAGCGGAAUAUCAUGUAGCGGUGAAAUGCUUAGAUAUGACAUAGAACACCGAUAGCGAAGGCAGCUUGCUACACAAUUAUUGACACUGAGGCUCGAAAGCGUGGGGAUCAAACAGGAUUAGAUACCCUAGUAGUCC
rnacentral:rRNA from 1 species